ensembl:lncRNA
GUGUUGUUGUGUUGCAGCCUCAGCAAAUCGCACUGCAUCCCGCUUCACUGUACAACACCAUGAUGAUCGCCCAGCAGGGUGCGAGCCAUCUGGUCCAGUUGACCACCAGCCUGUCCCAGAACACCAGUUCCAGCGCUUCCACCUCCUUCCCCGAUGAGCGAUCGGGCCAGAUGAGGUAUCUAGCCUUCGUUUGAAACCACUCAUCUUAUUGACCUGGAAUAUACUGGACUUAUGUCUCAUUAACUAUUUUAAUGAGGGCCCUCCUGUUUUUACCCAAAGCAACCCGUAGUGACAGUGCUGCGGGGCCUGGGGGUCCCGACGCACCGGUCGGUGACUGUCCGUCUCUCCCAAUGAGUCGAGCUCGCCUAAGUGAGGCGCAAAAGGCUGACCUGGCAUUGAAAAGGUGUUUCUCAAAGGGGCAGCUCAAGUGGGCGGGUCCUUCCGUCCCCGGAACCAACCAGAGAGCGACGGCGCCGUGGAGGCGUAUAAAAGCCUAAUGUGCCUUGCAAGCGGGGCAGACACCUGUAGGGAAUCUAGGCGCGUAGUCGCAUUCGUUUGAGAGCAAGAGUUUACGUUUGUGUGUUCCCAGAUUUGGGCCAGGGUAAGAAGGAUCCCUCUGUACUGAUGUUGUUCAUUUGCACUCAUUUAGGUUUGUCACUGUUUAGCCACACUAGGUUUAGGGGGUGCUGAUCAUUUGUAUUUCGGUUUUUGUUAUGCUAGAGUAGCCAGUUAGGUUUUGUUUUUAGGACCAUUCGUAUUUAGUUAUUAGACAGGUAGCUCCACUUUAUUUUAAGGAGUUCUCUUUUGGUUAUAUUUGGUUCUUUGUUUUGACAGCACCUAGCGAACCAUUUCUGAUGAUUGUUACCUGCUAUUCCUUUGUUGGGUUAUAAUAAAACACGAUAAUUACAACCCCAAUCCACCGGGUUGUGUGUGUGUUACUUCCCUUUUUCCCCCUGAACGAGUAGGGGUCGUAACAACCCUGUAUUGUAGCAACCUUUUCCUAUAAAGGCCGCUAAGAG